rnacentral:rRNA from 1 species
AAUCCCGUGAACCAUCGAGUCUUUGAACGCAAGUUGCGCCCCAAGCCUUCUGGCCGAGGGCAUGUCUGCCUGGGUGUCACAAAUCGUCGUCCCCAUCCUUUGCGGAUAAGGGACGGAAGUUGGUCUCCCGUGUGUUACCGCACGCGGUUGGCCUAAAUCUGAG